CAGUACUGAGAUAUUCUUGGAAAUUAAAUGAGAAUCCAUAAAACAGCUGGCGUUUGGAUUCUGCGGCCGACCGGCUAUUUGGAGUGGAAUGCAGCCCACGGCAGACAGCCCAAACAGUAAUCGAACGCCUCCGAAGGAAACGGCCGCUGAACUGAGACACGCCUACUGAGCAGUAUAGUUUGUUUCUGUUAUUUCAUUGGACUAUUUAAUUAUCGCGGGAGCUGCCACUUUUUGCAGGUUAACGGUUGCGGCUCAGUGCGCGCCAAGUCUGUCUCUCAAGUCUGCCUUCCACGGAGCUGUAUGUACAUGAGCGGAGGAUCACAUCUGUAGCACUGGUUAACGGUUACGGCUCAGGGCGCGGCCAAGUCUGUCUCAAGUCUGCCUGCCACGGAGCUGUGUGCACAUGAGCGCAGGAUCACAUCUGUAGCACUGGACGAUCAUGCUAUUCUUCAAGGCGAUUCAUGCUGAGUGUGGAUCGAAACAUAGUACAGGACAACAUCCCCUCCUUGGUUUCUGCCCUGUCCAUGAUGUUUGGGAGCUAUUAUUGCUUCAACA